UACAGAGGGUGCGAGCGUUGUCCGGAAUCACUGGGCGUAAAGGGCGCGUAGGUGGCGACCCAGGUCGAUGGUGAAAGCUCGCCGCUCAACGGCGAGUCGGCCACCGAUACUGGGUUGCUCGAGCACUGUAGAGGCUCAUGGAAUUCCGGGUGUAGCGGUGGAAUGCGUAGAGAUCCGGAAGAACACCGGUGGCGAAGGCGGUGAGCUGGGCAGUUGCUGACACUGAGGCGCGACAGCGUGGGGAGCAAACAGG
rnacentral:rRNA from 1 species